UACGUAGGGUGCGAGCGUUAAUCGGAAUUACUGGGCGUAAAGCGUGCGCAGGCGGUUUUGCAAGCCGGAUGUGAAAUCCCCGGGCUUAACCUGGGAAUGGCAUUUGGGACUGCAAGGCUGGAGUGCGGCAGAGGAGACUGGAAUUCCUGGUGUAGCAGUGAAAUGCGUAGAUAUCAGGAGGAACACCGGUGGCGAAGGCGGUUCUCUGGGCAUUACCUGACGCUGAGGAGCGAAAGUGUGGGGAGCGAACAGG
rnacentral:rRNA from 1 species